AAAAAAAGGGGUGGGGGCAUGGGGAUCAUUAAUUACUAGGGAAGAGUUUUCCGAUAAUACGAAGAAUCUUGUGGCCUUGUUUAUCUUUGAUGCGGAUCUUGAAAAUGUCGAGUUUGUGAAAGAGGAAUUCUCGAUUAGACUAGAAAACCUGGGAUGGCAGGAUUGUUGUUGUUGGGGUUUGUUUUGAGAAGGGGAGAAGAAGAAGAAGAUUAA
rnacentral:lncRNA from 1 species